UGGCGGCCAUGUGCAGGCAGCUGAGGCUGACGCACGACAGGUGCUUCGGCUGGAUCUGAGGGCACAGAUCUUCGCUAAGUCUUUAAAUAUUGGUUUAUGACACACUCGACAACCAGGAGGCGAUCGCUGACUAAACAGGAAACAGAAAAACUGGAAGAACUUGGUCGAGAAAACAGGACUGACAACAAAGAAGAAACGAGACGUUAUCGGAAUAGUCAGUAAUAUAUUGUAUGUAUUCAAUUUAACAAUGUUAUAUAUUAUUUUAAAUAAUGGCAAAAACCUGCCGGAAAUAUUGGUCACUUUUCCAAAUAUACCUCUGCUGUUAUAUCAACA